rnacentral:snRNA from 11 species
GGCGAGACACAGGGGGCACACUGAGCACACGAGAGGCGCAUCGACGGGGUGUGGAGAGAGUCGGGAGGAA